GUGUCAGGCCCCUGUGAUUCAGUUAAGCUUCAGUGAGGUAAGUACUUCCAUCAUCCUCAUUUUACAAGGAAACUGAACACAUGGAGACAUUGAGCCACCUGCCCAAAGUUACACAGUCUCCCUAGGGAAAGCCAGCUAUGUGAUGUGGACACUCAAAAACAGUCCUCUGGAGUGAGCCACAUGGUGAAAAAUGGAGUCCUCCUGCCACCAGCCAAAAGGGACUUGCCAGCCUUAUGAGUGAGCCGGCCCAGACACUCCAGCCCCAGUUAAACCUUCGGAGGACUGCGGCCUCGCCAACAUCUUGACUGCAACUUCGUGAGAGACCAAGAGCUACACCCAUGCAACUAAGCUGCUCCCCAAUUCCUGGUCCACAGACACUGGGAGAGAUAAUAAAUAUUUAUUUCUGUUUGAA